rnacentral:rRNA from 1 species
UACAGAGGUCUCAAGCGUUGUUCGGAUUCAUUGGGCGUAAAGGGUGCGUAGGCGGCAGGGUAAGUCUGGUGUGAAAUCCCGGGGCUCAACCCCGGAACUGCACUGGAUACUGCUUUGCUAGGUGACUGGAGAGGGAACUGGAAUUUACGGUGUAGUAGUGAAAUGCGUAGAUAUCGUAAGGAAGACCAGCGGCGAAGGCGAGUUCCUGGACAGUUACUGACGCUGAGGCACGAAGGCCAGGGGAGCAAACGGG